UGAAAAUAGUCUUAAAAAAAAAUAGAGUCAAGUGGUAGUAGUCGAUUGAGAGUAUUGAGACGCAUAUAACAAAGUCAGCACCGUUAUAUCUACAGACUGUUGUAAUAAUCACUGGCGUUGCCCGUAACGACUACACGCAAAAUACCAGCAACAAGCGGAUGAUAAUAAAAUAAGAAUUUCGUUAGCUAUGGGACGUGAACGCGCAACUAGUUUUUCUCAGCCCGAGUGAGUGGACGUUUUUUAUUCAUAUACCGGAAAUCCCACUAGGAUUUGCUAAUUUAAAGUAGUUGGCGUAGUGCGAAUUCCAUUACCCGCGGACCACAUUAAAUUAGAUAUUAAAUCAUUAUGGACUGUUCAGUGACCAAACGAAUUCUACUCGGCAAACGAUGUACUCGAACAACGUACAAUGCUCUGUCUGCAUAUCAAUAUUAUGAAAAGGGUGGAAAAGAUUAUAACGAAUCGUAUGCGCAAGCUUUAAUUUUGACGAACUAGAAAUUCAUCGAUUGACGAAAAUACCAGUAUUUUACUUGCUUCUAAUAUUUUUUUAAAUUU